UACAACUAAAUUUAAAAUGAAAACUGAAAAUAUAAAAAUAAAAGCUAAUUCAAAUGAUUAAAUAUAAUAGUAUAUCAAUUAUACUAAUAUUGCACUGAUAUGAAACUAACACAAAUACAAAUGUUUCCCCUUUUUUAAAUUACUGACAGUUCUAUUUAUUAUCAGCCUAAAGAAUGAACCGCUAGCAGCAAUGCAUUAUAUACAGAGCUUCUCAGUGCAUCUCAUCUCUUUCCGACAGACAACAUUUGGAUAAUAAUGUUUAAAUCUGACAUAAUUAUUUCGUCUUAGGCACAGACCUCUAGUCACGGCUAUAAGAAGAUGCAGCGAUGAGCUAAUUUACAGAAUUGUCAGAGGGCCUAUCAUGGCUUCUUAUUAGGCUGCAUUGCAAAUCCUAAGCUAAAUGAUCUGUGUCCGGCCUUCCAAGGGAGAAAACAGCAUUCUGCAGCACAACUUCCGCCAGCGCAAAUGAGAUGCAAGAUUUGAGGAGAAAUCCUCUCCCCCAUACAGAUAUAAAAGCAAGGACGUGCACACAGCCGCCUCUCGAUCCAAACAUUGACUCAUCAACACACGCCACCUGUGAAAACACCAAGCUAUUUUCACAAGAAUAAAGAGAUGCAGCAACUUGCACGUUUAACUGUAAUGUGCCACACUUAAUUCCAGCACAGUUGUGUGCGUCCUAAACCUACAAUUUAUCACAUAAAUGCCAGAUAAACCUAAUCGCUAUGCUAACAUUUGCAGCUCCAAUUGUGCCAAACACAGAAGCGUUAAUUAAUCUAAUGUUCUUGCGGCAGACGCACACAGUCGCACAUGCAGUCACGCUGUGGGAGUGAUUUGUAAGGCACCAUGUGGGGCUCUAAUCUGCGGGUUGCAGCGGGAUCUUUACAGCCUGCUCACGGGCCCGAGUGGCAGAAAUUAGGCCCAAAUUCAAUCAGUCGUCCAGGCAGUCCCGGGCUUUUCCUGCAGGCCUCGAGGCGCCUUGGGACGUGAGCUCCAUCUGCACUAGGGCUAAGGAAAGCUUGCGCUCGUAGCGCUGGGGAGUUAUGAGUAUUGCAGGCCGCCAUCUUCCGCACAUUAGUGUCACGGCUAAACUAAAUAAGGACUCGGGUUUGACUGUUUAGCUGAGGGGUAAUUUAAUUUGGGGAACAACGUGGUGUUGUAAAUCACAAGGAUGAGACGGUGCACUGCAUCUGGAAAAGUGCAUUUAUCUCAAGGCAAUACCAGAACAUUGAGUUAAAAAGAAAUCACACACUGAGAUUAUAUUUCUGCAGACGGCGUCCCGAUCUCUGUCGUAUUCGGAAGCCGGAGCCCAAAGAAAUAAUGCCGAGGCAAACAGCUCCUAUUUUUCGAGUAAGUUAACUAUCAUACGGUCAUUGUUGAGGGAUUUUUGCAGCGCUGAAAGCACUGUACUGCCCGAUUGCAUCGACUAAUCCAGCAACCUAUUUGCCGAGGAAUAUACAGAGCAAGACACUGGAGAACUUAAACGCGUCUGACUCGGUCGUCUGUGAAAUUGAUAAGCUACGAGAGAUCGACCGAAAUGUGCCGAGCCACAAACAUGCAUAAAACACCGUGGAACACAGAAGAGCAUAGCAGGAGCCAUAUGCACCGUACUCAGCUGAAGGAUUGUGGGCGAUGUGAUAGGGUGCAUAGGUUGUCCCUCGAGGCCAAACUGACAUGAUUGGAGCGUCCCAUUAAAACCAGAAUGAAAAGUCCUCACAAUGGGAGAAACUCUUGGGAGCAAAAUCGGCCCUGGAGACCGCAUGAAUCCCAGGGUUUUCAUCAGCAGAUGCUGAAUGCCACGUACAGUUGAGUUCAAAAUGAAUCUGUCUGCCCAAUUGCUGUUCCUGGUAAUACACAAUAAACAAUAUCAAAAUGCAUUUUUGCAGAACAGGACGGGCAAGAAUUGAUCACACUCUUCCAUUACUGGAGCAAACAGCGGGCAAGAGGGAGAGGAGGAGAGAUGAAAGAACAUCAAUGUGAAGAAAAUGUGCAAAGCCACAGAGAAGCACUGCCCGGCAUAAUGACUCAGCUACCGCGCAGGGACCAGCAACUUUCUAAAGCAUCUCAGACAUUAGGCAGAGAGACGGGUUGCUCCUUGCCCAGUACUCUGGCUGUGGGCGCUGCCUGAUGCAAUUAAAACGAGCCCACAGCACCCGUGCGCAGACGCAGUGAGGUGCCUCGUACAACUGAAGUAUCACAUCAGUGUUGUAAGGCCGACCGGGCCCUAAUCUACACUUUUUCAACAGCCGGCACACCAUGCAUAAUUAACACACAUUACUAAUUCAAACCUAAAGUGGUUCCCAUGUAAUCUACUGCAGUUCACUUUAAUUAAACACAUGUACUCUUGAACAAUCUGCAACUUUGUUAUGCGUAUGAAUGAAUAAAGAACUGCGGUGGACUUGUGGUCAUGUGCAGCCAAGGACACAUAAACUUGGGGUCAUUUCAGGCAAAUAAUAUUUUGAGAUAUAGUGUACCCAAAAUGCUUUU